GCACAGAACUGAAGCCCCAGUAAACGGCGGCCGUAACUAUAACGGUCCUAAGGUAGCGAAAUUCCUUGUCGGGUAAGUUCCGACCCGCACGAAAGGCGUAACGAUUUGGGCGCUGUCUCAACAAUGGACUCGGUGAAAUUGUAGUACCGGUAAAGAUGCCGGUUACCCGCAGCUAGACGGAAAGACCCCGUGGAGCUUUACUGCAGCUUGGCACUGGAUAAUGGUAUAUCAUGUACAGGAUAGGUGGGAGACAGAGAAGUUAGGACGCCAGUCUUAAUGGAGUCGCUGUUGGGAUACCACUCUUGGUAUAACGUUAUUCUAACUGUAAUCAGUUACCCUGAUUCAGGACAAUGUCAGGUGGGCAGUUUGACUGGGGCGGUCGCCUCCGAAAGAGUAACGGAGGCGCCUAAAGGUUCCCUCAGCGCGGUUGGAAAUCGCGCGAAGAGUGUAAAGGCAAAAGGGAGCUUGACUGCGAGAGAGACAUCUCGAGCAGGGACGAAAGUCGAGCUUAGUGAUCCGGUGGCACCGCAUGGAAGGGCCAUCGCUCAACGGAUAAAAGCUACCCCGGGGAUAACAGGCUUAUCUCCCCCAAGAGUCCACAUCGACGGGGAGGUUUGGCACCUCGAUGUCGGCUCGUCUCAUCCUGGGGCUGAAGUAGGUCCCAAGGGUUGGGCUGUUCGCCCAUUAAAGAGGCACGCGAGCUGGGUUCAGAACGUCGUGAGACAGUUCGGUCCCUAUCUGCUGUGGGCGUAGGAAAUUUGAGAGGAGCUGUCCUUAGUACGAGAGGACCGGGAUGGACAAACCUCUGGUGCAUCAGUUGUCUUGCCAAAGGCACGGCUGAGUAGCUAAGUUUGGAAGGGAUAAGCGCUGAAGGCAUCUAAGCGCGAAGCCCCCCUCAAGAUGAGAUUUCCCAUCCUUAAAUGGAGUAAGACCCCAUGAAGAUAAUGUGGUAAUAGGCCUGAGGUGUAAGUGCAGCAAUGUACUCAGCUGACAGGUACUAAUAGGUCGAGGACUUGACCAA
rnacentral:rRNA from 1 species